rnacentral:lncRNA from 1 species
GGUUAACAAAGUCCAGCAACCAAUCUACUAUGCAAGCAAGGUCCGACUGGAUGCGGAAACAAGGUAUACUUUGGCGGAACAACUUGCCCUUGCCUUGGUUAUAGCAGCACGAAAACUCCGGUAAUAUUUUCAGUCUCACCCUAUUGUGGUGCUCACUAAUCAACCACUUAGGCAUAUACUUCAGAAGCCGGACGUAUCGGGAAGACUGAUGAAAUGGGCAAUCGAGCUUGGAGAAUUUGACAUAGAAUUCAAACCACGCCCAUCUAUCAAAGCCCAAGCUCUAGCCGACUUCAUUGCAGAACUAACCCCUAGGCCUCGAGGGCCAGGUGACAGCUCGAGCAUGAGUACUAAUUUGGACACUUGGCAAAUUUUUGUGGAUGGAGCAUCCAACUCCUCGGGCUUGGGCGCAGGGGUCGUCAUCAUCAGCCCUGACAAACAAACAGAAAUUCAAUGCGCUCUCAGGUUCAAGUUUGAAGCAACCAACAACAAGGCCGAGUAUGAGGCCGUCGUUAUUGCUCUUGAGCUAGCCCUUUGCCUUGAGCUCGAGUUCAUAAAGAUAUUCAGCGACUCACAACUGGUGGUCGGACAGAUUGAAGGUUCAUUUGAAAGGAAAGACGAGAAAAUGAGUUUGUACUAUAUGAAGGUUCAGGAUCUUCAACGAAAAUUCAAGAGUUGUGAAAUUGCAAAAAUUGCUUGAAAGGACAACGGAAAAGCCGAUGCAUUAUCCAGGCUUGUGUUCAUGGGGGUGGACGGCCUUGACAGAACAGUUCACAUUAAAAUCAUCACAGAACCCAGCAUCAGCCAAAUCCUCGACAUCAUGG